UAGUCCAUGCCGUAAACGAUGGAUACUAGUCGUCGGGACACCUAAUUGUUUCGGUGACGUCGCUAACGCUUUAAGUAUCCCGCCUGGGGAGUACGGUCGCAAGAUUAAAACUCAAAGGAAUUGACGGGGGCCCGCACAAGCGGUGGAGCAUGUGGUUUAAUUCGAUGCAACGCGAGGAACCUUACCUGGGCUCGAACGCUAUCGGACAACCCCUGAAAGGGGGCUUUCUUCGGAUCGAUAGUGAGGUGCUGCAUGGCUGUCGUCAGUUCGUGUCGUGAGAUGUUGGGUUAAGUCCCGCAACGAACGCAACCCCUAUCGUUAGUUACCAGCGGGUCAUGCCGGGGACUCUAGCGAGACUGCCUGCGCAAGCAGUGAGGAAGGUGGGGACGACGUCAAGUCAUCAUGGCCCUUACGCCCAGGGCUGCACACGUGCUACAAUGGACGGUACAACAGGCUGCCACUUCGCAAGAAGGAGCUAAUCCCUAAAGCCGUUCUCAGUUCGGAUCGGAGUCUGCAACUCG
rnacentral:rRNA from 1 species